AAGGACAUAGCUCAGCUGUCACCAGCGGGGCAGACUUACAGCCUUGAGUCAUUCCAUGCGGUCAUCAUUCACUUCGCUUCAAAGUCUGUGCCUUACACUCCGGCUGUCAUGCAAGCUAGAACACGACUUGCAGCUCUCCAUUUCAACGAAAAUGCAAAUCGAGUGCAAGCAGUGAAGCGGAGCGGAGAAGGAAAAUUCAAGAUCAAGCUGCAGCGUGCAAGGGAGGGUCAUUAUGUGGCGUGCCCACUGAAUGUGGACGCAACAUACGACUACAUCAGGGAUUUGAUGGAAGAAACUGUUGCAGCAUGUCAGCGCUUCAGAACCUUCGACGAGGCUUUUGCUGCCAGCAACGAAGACGUGCCUCCACCCAUGACAGCACACCAUCCCCGAACACAGUCCGCUGCAGAACUCGCUGCUAUACGCCAAAAGAGAUUUUGUGAUGUCCGACGAAGGCUUGAGUAUGAAUAAUGUA